rnacentral:rRNA from 1 species
GAUUAACGCUGGCGGCGUGCCUAACACAUGCAAGUCGAACGAGGUAGCAAUACCUAGUGGCAGACGGGUGAGUAACGCGUGGUCAACCUACCGUUGAGUGGGGAAUAACUAGCCGAAAGGUUAGCUAAUACCGCAUACGUCUCCGAGUGGCAUCACUUGGCGAUAAAAGGAGCAAUCCGCUCGAUGACGGGACCGCGUCCCAUUAGCUAGAUGGUGGGGUAACGGCCUACCAUGGCACCGAUGGGUAGCUGGUUUGAGAGAGCGACCAGCCACACUGGGACUGAGAAACGGCCCAGACUCCUACGGGAGGCAGCAGUGAGGAAUUUUCCGCAAUGGGCGCAAGCCUGACGGAGCGACGCCGCGUGUGGGAAGAAGGCCUUC